AGAGUUUGAUCCUGGCUCAGAUUGAACGCUGGCGGCAUGCCUAACACAUGCAAGUCGCACGCGAAAGGGGGCAACCCCGAGUAGAGUGGCGGACGGGUGCGUAAUACGCAGGAAUCUACCCACGAGUGGGGGACAACCCGGGGAAACCCGGGCUAAUACCGCAUGAGACCUACGGGUGAAAGCGGGGGAUCGCAAGACCUCGCGCUGGUGGAUGAGCCUGCGUCCGAUUAGCUAGUUGGUAGGGUAAAAGCCUACCAAGGCAACGAUCGGUAGCUGGUCUGAGAGGACGACCAGCCACACUGGGACUGAGACACGGCCCAGACUCCUACGGGAGGCAGCAGUGGGGAAUAUUGGACAAUGGGGGCAACCCUGAUCCAGCAAUGCCGCGUGUGUGAAGAAAGCCUUCGGGUUGUAAAGCACUUUCGAUGGGGACAAACGUGUCGGGCUUAAUACGUCCGGCCUUGAUGGUACCUAGAGAAGAAGCACCGGCUAACUCUGUGCCAGCAGCCGCGGUAAUACAGAGGGUGCAAGCGUUAAUCGGAAUUACUGGGCGUAAAGCGUGCGUAGGUGGUUGGAUAAGUCAGGUGUGAAAUCCCCGAGCUUAACUUGGGAAUUGCGCUUGAUACUGUCCGGCUAGAGUGUGGUAGAGGGUAGUGGAAUUCCGCAUGUAGCGGUGAAAUGCGUAGAUAUGCGGAGGAACAUCAGUGGCGAAGGCGGCUACCUGGACCAACACUGACACUGAGGCACGAAAGCGUGGGUAGCAAACAGGAUUAGAUACCCUGGUAGUCC
rnacentral:rRNA from 1 species